rnacentral:tmRNA from 5 species
GGGGCUGUUUUGGUUUUGACGGUAAUGAUAAUUGGAGUGUAAGCAUGUCGAGCUUUGUGUGUUGGCUCGUAAAUCUCAAUACUCAAAACAAUAAACGGCGAAAAUAAUUACGCGCUUGCUGCUUAAUCUCACUCAGUGAAUUAAACUUAAUUCUGGGGUCUAGGUACUUCAGAACAAGCUGUCUCUCAAAGAGCGAUGUUUAACCGCGCUUGACAUAGAGGCAUCGUAAAUGUUAAACUAGCAUGGUUGGCGCUUCGAUGACCACGCGAAAUAAAGAAGAUAAGGAUUGGUUCGCCUGCCUGACGGCAGUCAGGGCUGCUCUUUGCCAGGCCAUUCACGAAAAACAACAAAGAGAUAAGCAUGUAGAAAACAUUUGGGUUUCUUAUUCGGACGCGGGUUCGAGUCCCGCCAGCUCCACUC